UAAACUGGUCUGACCGGUGUGCGGGGGGGGGCGGGUAAAACAAAACAAACACCUUCCUCCAGGGAAUCGACAAGAGGUGUAACAGCGUAAGGAAACCAUGGGCAUCUAUGAACAGAGAUUUCAAAAAGAAAAUGACUUUGUGGGGGGCGGGGUGAACGUCGCCACACGCGCGAGCGCACGCGCACGGCCACAGCCAGGGAUCUGGGAGAAGUCAGGUCGAGGUCCCCGCUGAAGAGGGAGAUGAAGUCAGAGGGCAUCGCAGUUCCCUCGCGCUGGAGAAAACGGACACCCCUCGGCCACUGACGUCACCUGGGCGAUUAUGCGUCUGCCGAUGUGUCACCGUCAGAAGAAAGAUAAACCUCACGAAGCGUCUGUUCGCACCGCCGCGGCCACUUUCUCUCUCUCUUUCUCUCUGUGUGUCUGUGUCUGAGUCGGUGUCGCUGCCUGUCUGUGUUUAUUCCUUCUGAACUGUGUCCGCUCUCACUCGGGUCCUCGGCCCCCUUCACCCCGCCCCCCUCGCCCCUCCCACGGCGCAUGUUUCAGCAUGGCUCACACACCGUGAGCCACGCCCACACCGCUGACGCAGUAGCGCCUACGUCGGGAUUGGUUAUGAUUAUGAGUGAAAUCCCUGCCGGAUUGUAUUAAUAAUUGCUUUUGAAGACGAACUCCAUGCAUAUAUGUAUCUUCCGAUAGUGUGCAAAGCUAACAACUGGAGCACUGAAGCCAAUCUUUCCAUGUGCAAAUCUUUUUUACAUUACAUUAUUUCCUUAUGUUUGUAUUGCAUGUUUAAUUACGUUUUACUUUUUUUUUUUACUGAUGCUUACUGACUAUUUAACUUUCCCCUCUGCUGCCCUAACACAGCAAAUGUCCCUGUUGUGAGACUAGUAAAGGAUGAUCUUAUCUUAUCUGAUCAUUUGUUUUGGGUUAGGGUUGUUGUUUGACAGGGACGAUGCAGAAAACAUUGUGACAGGUUGCUGCACGUAGGCGAAUAGGCAAGGACAUGUCCCUGUCCCUGGUUAGGUUUUUCUAAUGUAUAAAGCUCAAAGUACAUUGUUACAACAAAAUGAACAUCCCAUUCAAAAUUAACUGUCCGAAGCGCUUCUUAAACAACUGCUAUUCGCUCUUAUGUCUUUUCUGAAAUAUGUUGUAAGAAGUUCCUCUUAAUCAGAAAUAAUGACAUUUCAAAAAACCCCAUCACAUCAUCAAACUUUUAAAGGGAAAUGUUACUCCCAUGGCCUCUUGACUUCAAACUAAUUUUAUUAACACGUAUUUCAUUUUGAACAAUGGGAACACAAGAAACACUAAAAACUAGGGUCGAUUUUUCGCAGAAGUGGCUUCAGAAUAAUAUUCUGUUUUCUGUUUGCCCGAUCUCAGCCGACUCAUCCUUUCUGCUCUGCUGCUGGCAAUCGUUGUCAUUUGACCUUUACAUUCCGUUAUCAAUACCAGUCUGUGUUGUUAGAUUGUGUACUUUCAUAUUAUAAGAUAACACUCAACACCUACACCUGACAGUGUGGGUGUGCUCAUUAUAAAAAAAGAAAAAAACAAAAACAAUGUUUAUUGAGGGUCAAAAUAUUUAUCAGUGAAACUUCUGCUUCCCCUUUAAUAGAGUGAGUGGAGUUUAAUGAAAGUGAUCACAACCCUGAUUAAAUCUGAUCAAGUCAAUCAACUCUGUUCCAUCUCAGUGUACUUCAGAUUCACAUACUGAAAUUAAUAAAAUGGCAAUAAAAGCGCACCUGGAGAUAGGUAUCAAGAGUGGACUGAUGUUCAUGGUACAUAUUACUAUGUAUUUUGACAUAUACAUACGGUAAAAUUAUAUCUUGUUGAUUCUAAUAACAUCCAGCGUUAGGAACACCGUAUGCCUUAAGAACUAUAGUUUCUUCCUGGUGGUCAUCACCAUCAUGUGUGAGGAGUUUCUCGCACAUUAUUAGCUUUAUUUCAUGCAGACACCUUGUUUGUCGUCCUAACAGUGCUUCGGUAUUCAUUGUUUUUCAGUGCAAAUGUAUCGAAAUUACUGAUGUCAUUAUUGCAUUCGGUGCUAACAUUUUAUUAUGUAUCUUAUGUCUGAGAUACCUCAAUUUUUUUCAUGAGAAAUAUUAUCACUGAAUCUUA